rnacentral:rRNA from 1 species
UGGGGAAUAUUGCACAAUGGGGGAACCCUGAUGCAGCCAUGCCGCGUGUAUGAAGAAGGCCUUAGGGUUGUAAAGUACUUUCGGUGAUGAGGAAGGUACUUGGUCUAAUAGGCCAAGUAAUUGACGUUAAUUACAGAAGAAGCACCGGGCUAACUCCGUGCCAGCAGCCAGCGGUAAUACGGAGGGGUGCGAGCGUUAAUCGGAAUGACUGGGCGUAAAGGGCAUGUAGGCGGAUGAUUUAAGUUAGGUGUGAAAUCCCCGAGCUCAAGCUUGGGAAUUGCAUUUAAAACUGGUCGUCUAGAGUAUUGUAGAGGAAGGUAGAAUUCCACGUGUAGCGGUGAAA